CGGACGGGUGAGUAACGCGUGAGAAUCUGCCCUCAAGACGGGGACAACAGCUGGAAACGGCUGCUAAUCCCCGAUAAGCCCAAGGGUGAAAAGAAAUUCGCUUGGGGAGGAGCUCGCGUCCGAUUAGCUAGUUGGUAAGGUAAAGGCUUACCAAGGCGACGAUCGGUAGCCGGUCUGAGAGGACGAUCGGCCACACUGGGACUGAGACACGGCCCAGACUCCUACGGGAGGCAGCAGUGGGGAAUUUUCCGCAAUGGGCGAAAGCCUGACGGAGCAAGACCGCGUGUGGGAGGAAGGCCUUCUGGGUCGUAAACCACUUUUCUCAGGGAAGAAGAACUGACGGUACCUGAGGAAUCAGCCUCGGCUAACUCCGUGCCAGCAGCCGCGGUAAUACGGAGGAGGCAAGCGUUAUCCGGAAUUAUUGGGCGUAAAGCGUCCGCAGGUGGCUCAUCAAGUCUGCUGUCAAAGACAGUGGCUCAACCACUGAGAGGCAGUGGAAACUGGAGAGCUAGAGAACGGUAGGGGUAGAGGGAAUUCCCAGUGUAGCGGUGAAAUGCGUAGAGAUUGGGAAGAACACCGGUGGCGAAAGCGCUCUACUGGGCCGUAUCUGACACUCAGGGACGAAAGCUAGGGUAGCGAAUGGGAUUAGAUACCCCAGUAGUC
rnacentral:rRNA from 1 species